UACGUAGGGGGCAAGCGUUGUUCGGAAUUACUGGGCGUAAAGCGCGCGUAGGCGGCUUUGUAAGUUAGAGGUGAAAGCCCGGGGCUCAACUCCGGAAUUGCCUUUAAGACUGCAUCGCUAGAAUUGUGGAGAGGUAAGUGGAAUUCCGAGUGUAGAGGUGAAAUUCGUAGAUAUUCGGAAGAACACCAGUGGCGAAGGCGACUUACUGGACACAUAUUGACGCUGAGGUGCGAAAGCGUGGGGAGCAAACAGG
rnacentral:rRNA from 1 species